rnacentral:rRNA from 1 species
AUGAAUGAACGGCUUGAAAGGCUUGUCAUCCAAACAUCGUCCGCAGACUGUCGUUUGCAUAACACUGCUCAAAAAAGAUCUCACCCCUGGUUCGAUCCCCUUCUUCCCUCGAUCCCCAUCUCCUUCCCGCAGCGCGCCGUCAUCUCUCCCUCGAUCCCCUGGUUCUCUCCCUCUCACUCGCUCGACCCCUCCAUCCUCGUCCCGAUCGGGAAAGGCUCCCGAUCCGCCGCCACCAUGGUCCGCCGCUCCCAGCCUCGUCAGCGCCUCACCAUCCCGUCGCCGCUGGCGACCACCAGGAGGCUGCCGCCUCACGCCUCGCCCUGUGUCCCCUCGUCGCCUCGGCGUCGUAGCACCGGCAAGCGCCACCCCUGCGCUCCCUCGGCUUCCUCCAUCCUCGGCCUCCUCUGCUUCCCGCGACGCCCAAGGCCCCGUCCUCGACUCAGAGCCAAGUCCCGCGACACCGCUGCCGUUCCUGGCCUCGCCCACAGCUCCACCACGUUCCGGUGCCGCCGGCGACCUCCAAGAGCUCCGCCGCCCCUCUGCUCCUGCUUCCCCUCCGUGCGCCCGCCGACCACCGCUGCACCAAGCCCCAGACCUCCCCUGCUUCGCCAAGACCACCGACGCUGCCUCGCUAGCCUCGCUCGCGCCCCUGGCCUCCCUACACGCCCGAUCUCCUCGCUGCCCCCCGUCUGGUUGUCGGACCUCGUCGACAGGACCUUGACACCGCUAAGUUCCAGGAAACCCCAAGUACGACCCCGUAUACGUGUACAUGAUGAGCCGCCAAGUUCCACGAAAGAUCAAGUUCUACUACAUGUAACUGUCGGCGUCCUGGGAACGGGAUCCCCAGACUUGACUGCCUGCGGCCCACAACAUGGCUCUGCUAGCAGGCCUAUACGACCCAUCUGUAUCAACAAGGCAUUCAAGACCCUCGCGAGGGGCCAAGCCUCGCGAGGCGGACGACGGAAGACCUCCUCAGGAGCGGCCUCGCCAGGUAGGCUCGCGAGGGGCGGAGAGAUCAAGGCAAGACGAACCUCGCGAGGUUCUCGUGACGUGAGCCAUGACGAUCGAGGCCAGGCGGGCGCCAAGCGGGCGCCAGCGCGCGCAGCGUCCUUGUUUCCUCUUUGGUGCUAA